rnacentral:rRNA from 1 species
AGACAAUAGAUACCCGGGUAGUCCACGCCGUAAACGAUGGAUGCUAGCCGUUGGACAGCUUGCUGUUCAGUGGCGCAGCUAACGCAUUAAGCAUCCUGCCUGGGGAGUACGGUCGCAAGAUUAAAACUCAAAGGAAUUGACGGGGCCCGCACAAGCGGUGGAGCAUGUGGUUCAAUUCGAAGCAACGCGCAGAACCUUACCAACCUUUGACAUGUCUCGUAUGGGCACCAGAGAUGGAGUCCUUCAGUUCGGCUGGCGAGACACAGGUGCUGCAUGGCUGUCGUCAGCUCGUGUCGUGAGAUGUU